UACGAACUGUGCGAACGUUAUUCGGAAUCACUGGGCUUACAGGGUGCGUAGGCUGUUAUGCAAGUCAGGUGUGAAAGCCCUCGGCUCAACCGGGGAACUGCGCUUGAAACUGCAUGACUAGAGCGAGCUAGAGGUAUGCGGAACUUCCGGUGGAGCGGUGAAAUGUGUUGAUAUCGGAAGGAACACCAGAGGCGAAAGCGGCAUACUGGGGCUUGUCUGACGCUGAGGCACGAAAGCCAGGGGAGCAAAC
rnacentral:rRNA from 1 species